CAGAGCCAGUAUAACACGUUGAAUGCACCAGUUCCCCUUGAAUCACUGAAGCUAAGCAAAGUUGCGCGUGGUUAGUGUCCGGAUGGGUGACCAUCUGGACAAUCGUGUGCCCAGA
rfam:Asian citrus Psyllid, Diaphorina citri - Florida Strain, whole genome shotgun sequence.